UGACGAGCCUCUGGAGAGACUCCCACAAGGGAGCACCGAAGGAGCAAGCCGAUGGAAAUCGGUGAAACUCUCAGGUAUCAAGGACAGAGUGUUGGUG
rnacentral:ncRNA from 1 species